GAUGAAGAACGUAGCGAAAUGCGAUAAGUAAUGUGAAUUGCAGAAUUCAGUGAAUCAUCGAAUCUUUGAACGCACAUUGCGCCCGCUAGUAUUCUGGCGGGCAUGCCUGUCCGAGCGUCAUUUCAACCCUCAAGCCCCCGGGCUUGGUGUUGGGGAUCGGCGAGCCUCCGCGCCCGCCGUCCCCUAAAUCUAGUGGCGGUCUCGCUGUAGCUUCCUCUGCGUAGUAGCACACCUCGCACUGGGAAACAGCGCGGCCACGCCGUUAAACCCCCAACUUCUGAACGUUUGACCUCGGAUCAGGUAGGAAUACCCGCUGAACUUAAGCAUAUCAAUAAGCGGAGUA
rnacentral:misc_RNA from 1 species